UAAGGAAUAUUGGUCAAUGGACGCAAGUCUGAACCAGCCAUGCCGCGUGAAGGAUGAAGGUCCUCUGGAUUGUAAACUUCUUUUAUCUGGGACGAAAACGGGAUUUUUAUCUCAAUUGACGGUACCAGAGGAAUAAGCACCGGCUAACUCCGUGUCAGCAGCCGCGGUAAUACGGAGGGUGCGAGCGUUAUCCGGAUUUACUGGGUUUAAAGGGUGCGUAGGUGGGCUUAUAAGUCAGUGGUGAAAUCUCCGAGCUUAACUUGGAAACUGCCGUUGAUACUAUAGGUCUUGAAUUAUCUGGAGGUAAGCGGAAUAUGUCAUGUAGCGGUGAAAUGCUUAGAUACGACAUAGAACACCAAUUGCGAAGGCAGCUUACUACAUAUAAAUUGACGCUGAGGCACGAAAGCGUGGGGAUCAAACA
rnacentral:rRNA from 1 species